UAGGGAAUCUUCGGCAAUGGACGAAAGUCUGACCGAGCAACGCCGCGUGAGUGAAGAAGGUUUUCGGAUCGUAAAACUCUGUUGUUAGAGAAGAACAAGGACGUUAGUAACUGAACGUCCCCUGACGGUAUCUAACCAGAAAGCCACGGCUAACUACGUGCCAGCAGCCGCGUUAAUACGUAGGUGGCAAGCGUUGUCCGGAUUUAUUGGGCGUAAAGCGAGCGCAGGCGGUUUCUUAAGUCUGAUGUGAAAGCCCCCGGCUCAACCGGGGAGGGUCAGUGGAAACUGGGAGACUUGAGUGCAGAAGAGGAGAGUGGAAUUCCAUGUGUAGCGGUGAAAUGCGUAGAUAUAUGGAGGAACACCAGUGGCGAAGGCGGCUCUCUGGUCUGUAACUGACGCUGAGGCUCGAAAGCGUGGGGAGCAAACAGG
rnacentral:rRNA from 1 species